GCUUAAAUUCUUCUUUGAAUAGAAAUCCGAUUUACACAGAAAUUAGGGUUCUUACAUGUCAAACUUAGGGCUUUGUUUAUAAUGUUUUAGAUUCAUGAAUAUCGCUUGAAUGGGUUUACAGUAAUUCCAUUGAAUUUGUUGGUUUAGAGUUGAACUUCCGAUCUCUUUCUUUCUCAUUGUAUGUUGUGAUCAAUGCCCCCGUUGUUGAUAGCUAACCUUAGAAUUAUCUGAGAACUCUAGACCUAAGAAUUUUUCUUCUGUUUUGCUUUUCUUCUGGAUUUUUUCCUGAAACUCCCACACUCGAGGUGUGUUUGAUGAUUUGAUUUGAUUGUUAAGUUGUCUACAACCAAAUUAACAAUCUAUAACCAAAAGUCCGUUACACAAUUGGAAUUCUUCAUCUAGACAAUUGGAAAUGAUGCUGUCGCAGAAUUACUAUAGGUGUCCACUCUGCCAACCAUAAAGAUCAACCAAAUUCACUGGGGAACAAUGGUAACUGAAGUGUAGUUACUAUAUAGGGAAUUGUGUUACAUGAGCAUGGUUCUUGCAGAUAUACCAUCAAAACAUGAAGACUUGGCUAUAAGACGAUGGAAAGAGGUAUGAUUGUUGGCUAGAAUGUUGAAGCCUGCAAUUCUUCACUUUCGGCAUGGAGAUUCCAAGUUGGAAACGAUUGUAGCAAAUAUUCCGUAGAUUUUAUGUAGACAAGAGAUCUGCAGGAUUUACCGAAAAUUGUCAUCCGGCGGUCAGAAUCAUCAUCCGGAUGGAGUUUUGACCUAGACGGCUAAAAAACUUCGGGGGGAGAAGUUGGAUCGGAAUCAGAAAGAUGAAGAGGGAUAAAAGAAAAAGUCAUCAACACCAUAAUGCAAAGAGUGUUCUUCACAAAAAAAAUUUGACACCUUCUUACGUGGUUGUUCUUUUGUUGUUCAGCCCUAAAUAUUAGGUUUGCUUCUGUGACUUCAGGUGAUAAAUUUUAGUUUGUUCUUCUGCUUCUGUGAGUUAUGGGUUACAAUCUUAAUUUUAGACGGGUUGUUGGUUUGAUUUUGAUUAUGGGUUUCUUAGUUGACGUUUCCAUGUAUUUUAAAAUUUUGUGAAUCAACUCUUGUUGUUGUCCUUCUUCUCGGCACUUUGGUCAUUGGUUUUAUUUUGAUUACAGUUUUUUUUUUGUUUGUUUGUUGUUGAAUUGCAACAUAGCCGUUAAAUAUAGUUUAUAAUUCAAAAGAUAUGCACCGGCAGAACAUUUCUUUCCUACCUUUUCAUCCAUUAAGUGCAGAUACGGUGCAUAAACUUCUUUGGUCUUGCGGUUUCCUGACUUCCAGAUCUUUAAAACCUUUGCCUUGACAACCUUCUGACGAACUUGGAAGUUUACAGGUCAUCAAACAUAGUAUAAUCCAUGAUUCCUGCACACGAAAUUGCAGGCGGAAACAAAAUAAGUAAAUACGGUUGGAUACGAUACCCUAACUUUGAAUAGGAAUAGUUAAGCAGCAGUAUAAUGAUCUUUAACCAUUUUUUGCUUUAGAUUCUGGGCAUAGUUGGAUUAUGGGGACAAUCAGCAUUAAUGGACACUCCUUGGAAGUAAGGUUACCUGAUCCAAGUAUGUCCCCACCUAUCCCUACUUUUUUCAUAUGUGUCAUAUUCCGCAACAAAGUGCAGUCGAAUCCUUGGAUGCAUCUUUAUCUGUUUGGAAUCACUUGAGAUGCAUGUUUUAUUUAUUUUACCUUGCCAUAUGGCCAGUACAAGGCUCUAUCUUAAUUGGAGUUUUUAUUACUUACAGUUAGAAUAAGGAAUCAUGGUGUUUUUGUAAUGUUCAUGUCAAUAGUAGUGUGUAUGUGUUUAACUCACUAUUAGGCAAUUAAUGAGUUCUAUGUUCUACUAAGAAUCUGGUUGCAGUAUGUUUAGUUUCGUAUUUCUUCUUUUUAUUUUGUUUAUAUGAUAAAAAAAAUGAUUUGCUAAGAUGUUGCUACUUACUUGAUUAAACCAAAGUUCCAUAUAGUUGACAUUUGCUUGGCGACAGGGUCCCUUAGUAGCGACAUUCAUUGGCUGCAGUAAUUGGGUUUCUACACUCUGCUUUGUCGAAGAGGAAGGUUGCCCAUGACUUUAUUUCUGAAAAUGAAUGCUUACAUGUUAUAAGGUCACACAUAUCUGAGGGGGUUUGUGCGCCAUUUGUUACUAUCACAGAGGGUCUUCAACUGUCACAAAGGGUCCUCAACUGAAUGGAAGAAACACCAGCGACCUGGAUGUGAUUUGAAAUUCUUACAAUCUUCUUUUAUACUUCAGGGUUGCCAUGCUAAGCACCAGGGAAUGGUUUAGAAGACAGAGUUGGGGGUUUGGUUUCGCAACGGGUGCUGGAGAUAUGGUUAACGGGAGUGGGAGCACAAGACUGUACGAUUGUGGCUUAAACUAACAGGUGUGGGAGGUACAUGAGUAUACGACAGGUGUGCGAGGUACAUGAGUAUACGAAUGUGGAUUAGCAAUGGCAAGGCUACAGUAUGGGAAAACAUGAGUGUAUUGUGGCUUAACAGAAACUGUAGGCAGAGGAGUAUAGUAUGGUGGUGGAUGAGAGUUAGAGGAGUAUAUAUUGGUGACUUGGCUACGCGAGUACUAUUGGUGGUACUAAAUCUGCAGCCUGCUUUACACCAUCUUCAAGGGAUUUUUUAUUUUUGGAAUUUUGAGCUACUAAAGUUUACUCUAAUUCUUUAAUUAAAAAUUAAAAAACGACUAAUCAUUACCGAA